rnacentral:rRNA from 1 species
AUUGAACGCUGGCGGCAUGCCUUACACAUGCAAGUCGAACGGUAACAGGUCUUCGGAUGCUGACGAGUGGCGAACGGGUGAGUAAUACAUCGGAACGUGCCUAGUAGUGGGGGAUAACUACUCGAAAGAGUGGCUAAUACCGCAUGAGAUCUACGGGUGAAAGCAGGGGAUCGCAAGACCUUGUGCUACUAGAGCGGCCGAUGGCAGAUUAGGUAGUUGGUGGGAUAAAAGCUUACCAAGCCGACGAUCUGUAGCUGGUCUGAGAUGCCGAUCAGGCACACGGGGCCUCAGAAUCGGCCCAGACUGCUACGGGAGGGAGCAGUGGGGAAUUUUGGACAAUGGGCGCAAGCCUGAUCCAGCAAUGCCGCGUGCAGGAUGAAGGCCUUCGGGUUGUAAACUGCUUUUGUACGGAACGAAAAGCCCCGGGUUAAUACCCUGGGGUCAUGACGGUACCGUAAGAAUAAGCACCGGCUAACUACGUGCCAGCCGCCGCGGUAA